UACGUAGGGGGCAAGCGUUGUCCGGAAUCAUUGGGCGUAAAGAGCGUGUAGGCGGCCCGGUAAGUCCGCUGUGAAAGUCCAGGGCUCAACCCUGGGAUGCCGGUGGAUACUGUCGGGCUCGAGUCCGGAAGAGGAGUGUGGAAUUCCCAGUGUAGCGGUGAAAUGCGCAGAUAUUGGGAGGAACACCAGCGGCGAAGGCGGCACUCUGGGCUGGUACUGACGCUGAGGAGCGAAAGCGUGGGUAGCGAACAGG
rnacentral:rRNA from 1 species